rnacentral:rRNA from 1 species
AUGAAGCAACGAAAGUCAAACAGCGAAAGAAAACAACUUCAUUCUACUAAUCUGGAUCUAAGGCAACUUUACAGUAGCAAAAACUUGUUUAAGUUGGUUAAACGGAUAGAGGGUUUCGAGACGAAACUCCAGGCGCUUGAAUUGCCUGAUUCUGAUAAACGAGCGAAAAGUUAUACUAAAACAAAAAUCGGAUCAGAAAUCGCGAUCAAAAAAAUCGUGGAUUUAAUCCGAGAAAAAGAAAAACGACGAACGUUCGCUAGAACGAACGAACGGACGAACGCUCGCUAUUUAAAUAAAUCGGAAAAACCGAUCUAUUUAAAAAACCGAAACUAA